rfam:Triticum aestivum genome assembly, contig: Triticum_aestivum_CS42_TGACv1_scaffold_513692_6BS
UAUAUACUCCCUCUGCCCAGAAAUACUUGUCGAAGAAAUGAAUAAAAAUGGAUGUAUCUAGAACUAAAAUACGUCUACAUAAAUUAAUUCCUUCGACAAGUAUUUCCGGACGGAGGGAGUACUUC